rnacentral:rRNA from 1 species
CUGGUCUUGACAUCCUGGGAACCCUGAAGAGAUUCGGGGGUGCCGCAAGGAGCCCAGAGACAGGUGCUGCAUGGCUGUCGUCAGCUCGUGUCGUGAGAUGUUGGGUUAAGUCCCGCAACGAGCGCAACCCUUGUCCUUAGUUGCCAGCAUUUAGUUGGGCACUCUAAGGGGACUGCCGGUGAUAAGCCGAGAGGAAGGUGGGGAUGACGUCAAGUCCUCAUGGCCCUUACGGGCUGGGCUACACACGUGCUACAAUGGUGGUGACAGUGGGCAGCGAGCACGCGAGUGUGAGCUAAUCUCCAAAAGCCAUCUCAGUUCGGAUUGCACUCUGCAACUCGAGUGCAUGAAGUUGGAAUCGCUAGUAAUCGCGGAUCAGCAUGCCGCGGUGAAUACGUUCCC